CCAGGACAGUGUAAAACAGAAGGUCAUCCACACCAGGACAGUGUACAACAGAAGGUCAUCCACACCAGGACAGUGUAAAACAGAAGGUCAUCCACACCAGGACAGUGUACAACAGAAGGUCAUCCACACCAGGACAGUGUACAACAGAAGGUCAUCCACACCAGGACAGUGUACAACAGAAGGUCAUCCACACCAGGACAGUGUACAACAGAAGGUCAUCCACACCAGGACAGUGUACAACAGAAGGUCAUCCACACCAGGACAG